AUUAAAGUGGCAGAAAAAUGUGAAGAAUUUAAAUUUCUUUAAUACUAAAUUUAUAGUCUUAAUU
rnacentral:tRNA from 1 species